UCGAUUCAUUUACGAUGACUGCAAUGUGGCAAGGAUCCUUCAGGGGAUUAGUGAAGAUGGACCCAAUGGCCUAUGAUGUAGUAAUAGGACCAGUUUGUCACCAAAAUCACUGGACACUUGUGGUCAUCUAUCCAAAGGAGAAGCGGGCGCUGUACAUUAACCCCCUCGGUGAAAGCCCUGACCAAAUAAAAAAUUGCAAGGAUAUCACAAGGCAAGUCAUGUCAGUGGUAAUGUCAUGAUGUUCUUCUUUCCAAAUAACUAUAUUUUGCUAAUCUACAGAUCUUUCAUGAGACACAAAAACAUAUAUAUCUCGCGAUGGACUUGUGGGCAGAUCCGUGACCAUCCACGUCAGCAAGACUCAACGUCCUGUGGGGCAUGGGUUUGCAAGGUUGUGUGCAAAUGACCCUUUGUUGAAUACAGCUAUUGACUGUUACUAAUUGUACUGUGUCUUUUGUAGUUUGCAGAGCUUGUCCUCAAUGAGGACUUCAGUACUGGGGAUUUCAGUACUGAUGAGGCUGCUACUACUGAGUGGAGAAGGGAAGUAGCUUGCAGACUGGUAGCUGAUUCAGGUUUGUUAGUUUGUCAAUGUAUCAUAAUUAAUGUGUCUGAGAAACUAUUUACACUUGUGUAAUGUGUUAGAAAACUUAUCAGAGCUGUGCAGAGCAUGUGGCGAUGCAUGCCAAAGUCCAGGAAGAAAUGCUCACGAUGACUGGGUAAGCAUCUUCAAAACUGUAUAUUUACAGUAAUGUGAUAAUAAUCUACUACCAUGCUUCUCCUCAGAUCCAGUGCACAACAUGCGAUUUGUGGUUUCAUUGGGUGUGUGUUGGGAGA